GGUGGUAAGUGAGAAUAAAAAAUAUAAAAAAAUAUAACCCGUCCCGAAUCCGUCCCGAUCCGCCAAGUAAAUGAAGCGGGAGGUGGGAGACUCUUUUCUUCCUUCAAUCCGCUCCGAUUUCCGAUCCGUUAAAAAUCCGGCUCCCGCUCCGAUCCGUCCCGAAUGGAGCGGUAAGUGAGAGCCAAAAAUAAAAUGAAAAGCAACCCGCCCCGAAUCCGCCCCGCCCCAAUAAGAAAUGGAGCGAGAGGUGGGAGAACUCUCCCGCCCCCGGAUCCGUCCCAUUUGCCGGAUCCGUCCCAUUUGCAUCCCUACUUAUCUUUGCGCGCU
rnacentral:lncRNA from 1 species